CGAAUGUGACGUGUGCGUGGACAAAAGAAUUAAGAGCGUGCUGAAGUGGGCCGCAUGGAUGCAUUGUUAGGCCCACGCCAUAAACACAAAGCUACAAGAAGCACUCAAAUCAGAACUAGAUCAAGCAGGCAACUCUCUCUCUCCGUCGGAGAAAACUGACAGAAGAAUGGAAGUACUCGAAGGAUUUCCUUUCGCUUUCAGUUUUUGGAUCUACACGACGAUACCCAUACAUACCCCUAUGCUAAUGCAAGGUGAAUUUCCGGGUUCCGUUCCAACAUGUUCAUGAUAUUUUUAUCUGAUAGCUAUUAAUAUAAUGAUCGCAUAGCGGAGUGGAUAUCGCGUUAGACUCCGGAUCUAAAGGUCGUGGGUUCGAAUCCCACUGCGAUCGCUUCUUUCUUUCUUUCUUUUCUAAAAUGCUGAUUUUUCAUUUUUUUUGCCUUUUUUCUUCUUCUUCCGUCUGUAUUUGAUUUGUUCCCAUUAAUUCUGAAAUGAUUCACCUUAUUUAUUUGGAAUUGCGUGGUUUUGAUGUCCAAAUCUUUUCUCACAACUGAUGUUUUUGCCUUCUGUCAAAUUGAAGCAGUAAAGUUAAUUGAUCAAUAAUCUAAUUGGAGCCGAUCGGACUUGUUGAAUUUGAGCAAUGGUUUAUUUGUGUUGGCAGGUUUACCCUCUUUUAAAUGUCAGCUUAUUAUUUGGCUGGUUUAUAAAUCUUCUAUAUUCGCCCCUAUGCAUUGCGGAGUUGCAAAAUGAAAUGAAUUAAACUUCUCUUAUAAGUUAAAAUCAAUUUAUACACUUUAACUUUUGUAGAAACUUUCUUAUUUAACUUCUCUAAAAAUUGAGGUACGUAAGUUGAUUUUAACUUACAAAUAAAAGAAGUUUCAUUCAUUUUGUUUUUAUUUUCUUCUACAGAGUACUUUUUGUUUUGAUAAGUUUGUUUAUUCAAACUGACCUCAAGAUUUGCACUUUUAAUAACAUGUAAUGUAAGGAAAUGUUUUUGUGCUUCACUUGAUGAUGUUGCCCUUAAAGUUAUAGUUUGUGUGUGUUUGGCUUAAUUUAUUUUGAAGCAAUAAUCGUUUAUUUUUGUUAAAUGUUGAGUCUUCUAAAAAUAUUCUAUUAUUUAUCUAGAUUUAAGCUUGUACCAAACAUGCUAAAAUACGAAAAUGGUGGGAAUAUACAGCUAGUUGAUGUCUUCAUGAUCAUGUGUGUCCUCGUUGGCAUAUGAUAAAAACUUUAGGUUGUGAAGUUUGGUAUAUAGUUUAGCUAAAGGCAUAGGUGUGAUACUCUUUUCUGUCCACUGUCUGCCUAUCUUCUAGACCCUUCUUGUCUUUUUGUAAAGUUGCUCUUAUAUGAGGUAACUCAGUUGCAAUGACAGUUGCUCAUUCGUGCAUUUGCAUUGUGAUAGAUAAGAUUCAAAGAAUGUCAGAAGUGAGCAACAACCAUGGCUUAUUAGUCAGAUGUUUUCUAAUGUUGGAACAUGAGCAGAGUUGUUUUAAUGAAAUUGUAGUUUUAGAGAACUAGAAUGAAUGGUUGAAAAUGCUCCUUCACUUUUGUGAGUUCCGGUGCUUACAGACCUUGUUGUUAUCUUCUGAUUUGGGCUAUUUCAUCAUGUGUUAUCUUCUUGGAACCAUUUUGCCAUGUCUACUCUGGCGUGAAAGAAACAGGUGGUGUUUAUGUGGAUCCUUAGUAAUUUGCCGUGAUGUGAAACUAAAGUUGCUGUCUUCUCCUAGCUUUAAUUAUAAUAUAUAUGAUUAUAAAUGCAUUAAACAGGGUUCUUGUCCUGUUUUGGAUAUCAUUGUGAAGUGAAGUUUGCACUGUUGAAGUACUCAACAUGCUUUUUGGGAAAAAUGCGCACGCCCAUCUCAUGGCAUGGAUAUAUUUGCAUGCCAUCGAUAAUUCUCACCUUUCCUUGCUGUAAAGAACUUCAAUCCAUUUGUAAUUUAACAUAAUUUUACGUAUAAUUUUUCAUGAUAUGUUGUUUGUCAUUAUUACAUGUUAGGCAAGAUUUGAGUUUUUAUUCAUUUUUACAUUAUGUUAAUUUUGUGUCAGCUUUGAUCACAAUCUUUGAAAAAGAUUCGGUAUGCCUUGCAUAAUACUCAAGUGGAAGGGGUUUGAACUUU